rnacentral:rRNA from 1 species
AGGACGAACGCUGGCGGCGUGCUUAACACAUGCAAGUCGAACGGUAAGGCCUUUCGGGGUACACGAGUGGCGAACGGGUGAGUAACACGUGGGUGAUCUGCCCUGCACUUUGGGAUAAGCCUGGGAAACUGGGUCUAAUACCGAAUAUGACCAUGGGAUGCAUGUCUUGUGGUGGAAAGCUUUUGCGGUGUGGGAUGGGCCCGCGGCCUAUCAGCUUGUUGGUGGGGUGAUGGCCUACCAAGGCGACGACGGGUAGCCGGCCUGAGAGGGUGUCCGGCCACACUGGGACUGAGAUACGGCCCAGACUCCUACGGGAGGCAGCAGUGGGGAAUAUUGCACAAUGGGCGCAAGCCUGAUGCAGCGACGCCGCGUGAGGGACGACGGCCUUCGGGUUGUAAACCUCUUUCAGUAGGGACGAAGCGCAAGUGACGGUACCUACAGAAGAAGGACCGGCCGAACUACGCGCCAGCAGCCGC